CAUAGUUCUAGUUCUUCACGAGACAAGUGACAUUUUUUCCCUUUCUUUGAAGAACCCUCUGUCGAGACACUAGAGGAGAGCAUUGAGAACUUCGAUGAAUCGUCUAUAAUCUCAAUUGGACAGGAAAGCACUGAUGUCUUCGAAGGUAAGAAACAUUUUAUGUAAUUGUAAUGCUAUUCUUCCUUCUGAACAGACAGCAACAAAACCUCCUGUGACAACCAAGACAGCAUCAUUGUUGCUAAUGAUACCGUCAGCAGUACUCUAUCAAGCUUUAAUGGUGAGAUCUUUAACUAUACUCAACAAUGAAAAAAUAAUUGUUAAAAGAAAGCUUAAUUUUAAUUGACUGUGUCUAAUUGUAGAAAGUGGUUGUUAAGUGCACCAUUGAAAAGUUUUAACUUAACAGUUUUUGUUUUCUUUUUUAUUUGUAGAUGUAGUUUCAGAUGCUGAAGAGCAUGUUCUGCCUUUGGAUAAAAGUUUAUCUAAAGGUUACAAAACCCUAGUGAUUGAUGUAGUAUUUUUAAGUACAACAAAAUCGUAACCUAAAAGAAGGGCUUAUUGCUACUCUUUAUUGUGGACAUUUUUUUGUUUCUUCUGUUUGUUUGUUUUUACCAGGAUUGUAUGUGUUCAGUUUGGAGUUAUGCUAAUGCUUCCAUAUUUUGCAACAAGACAAUGAGCCAUCUUUUUUGCCUUAGUCUCAUGACCUAUAACUGUUCUGGACGGCGACGAAUUGUUAAGGGGCUGUAUAUUUUAAUUCCAAACGAAGAAAACGACAAACUCGUGACAGUUCGUGGCGGACAAAACCGAACUGUACAAAUUACAAAGCAACCAUAUCCCUAGUCCCGCGCAGUUCGGACACAGGGCUCCCGCGCUUACAUAAGGAAAAAUGCUAAAUCAACAUCAACAUAUGUAAUCGUUCAAAACAAUAACAGUACAAUGACUGCAUUUCCACUAUAAUUUGUUUGUGGUUUAUUAAGAUAUCCAUACAACUUGUACCCCUUGGGGGGGGGGGGGCACCAGAUGCUGGAACCAGGAGAAAAGGUUAGAAUAUUUUUUUUCUUUGCAUAUUGAUAAUUAUAUUGUACAC